rnacentral:misc_RNA from 1 species
CUUGAGAAGGAUGGUCGUGAUGGUGGCGGUCGUGAUCUUUUUGAGCGUUGCGAUGGCUUCGGGCGAGAGCGACAUAAGGGAAACUCCGGGUGUGGUGUGCCAGCCUUUUUGCGAAAGCGCGGGAUCGCGUCAAGGCGGCAAUCGCGUGACCGGUAAUGUCCGCUUAUGCGUUGCGAUAACGCCAACUUAUUUGCCAUUUUAGCGGGAGUGUCGGACAAAGGGAGUGUCCA